AUGGAAGUGAUGCAAUAUCUUCAACCUGACAACAGUGAUGUGUUGUUGUAUUCGUACUGUCUGAUCCAU